UUGAACUGUCCAAGCAAUUAGAAUUGACUUCUCGGUAGAACUGACACCUGAGUGUCAGUCUGAAGAAUGAAUAGGAGUAUCUAGAUGAAGACAGGAAACAAAAUUGAUUGGUAAAGGAGAGUGAUCAGACUUGAGCUGUGAAGAGCUGGCUUGUUUGGUGUUUUCCAGAAAGUAGGAAAUACCUUGCGGGAAGUCUCUACCUGAACAUUCUGGAGAACAUCCCCUUUUGGUAUCAUUCUGCCAUGAUCCAUGAUGUCCUUCAGGGCGAACUGACUGAAAACAUAAAAACAGAAAUGAGAAUCUGCUCAGUUUUGACUCUGUCCUGCACAGG
rnacentral:lncRNA from 1 species